rnacentral:rRNA from 1 species
CUUGUAGGUGGUUUUGUAAGUUGGACGUUAAAUCUCCAGGCUCAACUUGGAGAGGCCGUUCAAUACUGCAAGACUAGAGGAUGUCAGAGGAAGGUGGAAUUCCAGGUGUAGUAGUGAAAUGCGUAGAUAUCUGGAGGAACACCCAUGGCGAAGGCAGCCUUCUGGGACAUUCCUGACACUGAGAAGCGAAAGGCUAGGGGAGCAAACA